UACAGAGGUCCCAAGCGUUGUUCGGAUUCACUGGGCGUAAAGGGUGCGUAGGCGGUCGGGUAAGUCUGAUGUGAAAUCUCACAGCUUAACUGUGAAACUGCAUUGGAUACUAUUCGGCUUGAGAGUUGGAGGGGGGACUGGAAUUCUUGGUGUAGCAGUGAAAUGCGUAGAUAUCAGGAGGAACACCGGCGGCGAAGGCGGGUCGCUGGGCCAUAACUGACGCUGAGGAGCGAAAGCGUGGGGAGCAAAAGGG
rnacentral:rRNA from 1 species